rnacentral:sRNA from 12 species
AUAACGAGGCACCCGGGACAAAUCCCAGAGGGAAAGUUAGCAAUAACUACCGGAAUGCCUGACC